AGAGUUUGAUCCUGGCUCAGGAUGAACGCUGGCGGCGUGCCUAACACAUGCAAGUCGAGCGAGAAACAAGGGACGGAGAUUUCGGUUGAAGUUUCUUGCGGAAAGCGGCGGACGGGUGAGUAACGCGUAGGCAACCUGCCCUUUGCAGAGGGAUAGCCUCGGGAAACCGGGAUUAAAACCUCAUGAUACUGAGAGCCCGCAUGGGCUUUUGGCCAAAGAUUUAUCGGCAGAGGAUGGGCCUGCGUCUGAUUAGUUAGUUGGUGGGGUAACGGCCUACCAAGGCGACGAUCAGUAGCCGACCUGAGAGGGUGAUCGGCCACAUUGGAACUGAGACACGGUCCAAACUCCUACGGGAGGCAGCAGUGGGGAAUCUUGCACAAUGGGCGAAAGCCUGAUGCAGCAACGCCGCGUGAGCGAAGAAGGCCUUUGGGUCGUAAAGCUCUGUCCUAAGGGAAGAAGGAAGUGACGGUACCUUAGGAGGAAGCCCCGGCUAACUACGUG
rnacentral:rRNA from 1 species